UACGUAUGGUGCGAGCGUUAAUCGGAAUUACUGGGCGUAAAGCGUGCGCAGGCGGCUUUGCAAGACAGAUGUGAAAUCCCCGGGCUCAACCUGGGAACUGCAUUUGUGACUGCAAGGCUAGAGUACGGCAGAGGGGGAUGGAAUUCCGCGUGUAGCAGUGAAAUGCGUAGAUAUGCGGAGGAACACCAAUGGCGAAGGCAAUCCCCUGGGCCUGUACUGACGCUCAUGCACGAAAGCGUGGGGAGCAAACAGG
rnacentral:rRNA from 1 species